rnacentral:rRNA from 1 species
CCUACGGGGGGCAGCAGUAGGGAAUUUUCGUCAAUGGGCGCAAGCCUGAACGAGCAAUGCCGCGUGAACGAGGAAGGUCUUCGGAUCGUAAAGUUCUGUUGAAGGGGAAAAAGAGCGGAGAGAGGAAAUGAACUCCGAUUGAUAUUACCCUUCGAGGAAGCCCCGGCUAACUACGUGCCAGCAGCCGCGGUAAUACGUAGGGGGCGAGCGUUAUCCGGAUUCAUUGGGCGUAAAGCGCGCGCAGGCGGACCGUUAAGCGGGACCUCUAAUCCUGGGGCUCAACCUCAGGCCGGGUCCCGAACUGG